CCCCCUCUGCCACCGCCUCCUCCUUCACCACCACCACUCCCUCCGGGGCACCCCGGUCCCUGCAGAGUCCCCGGCCCGCGCCGCCUCUGCUGCGGCCCCCCGCAUCCCGAGCUGGAGGGACAGACGGACAAACGGACACGCAGAUCCCUCGCGCCUAGCUCUCGGCCGCCGCUGCCCCUGUGGCCCCGCGUCCGGGAAGCUGGGAUCGCCCCCCGGAGCACGGCGAGGCUGCCGUCUUCCCAUUUGGGCAGCUUGUGACCACCGUGGGAGAGUCAGCAUCUCUAUGUCCUGCUGAUGUCAUUCCAGAUCACUGCCAAGGAAUGCAAAGUGUCCGACAGCCCAAGUGACAUUUUUGUGAGUCACUACACCGUUCCACGAGGCUCUUAGAAAUUGCAAAGAUGCUCAGGAAUCCACGGAAGCUUCUCGGCUAACCUUGGAGCCCUGGGGCCCCGGACUGUACUCCUGCACUCCCGCUAGGGCUGCUGGUGCGUGAGGGCCCGGCAAGCUUUCCUCUCUAUCCCUUCCCACCGCUGCCAGCCACGGCAGAGACCCACUGACCCAGCUCAGCACUGAGGCCACACUGGCAGGGAAAGCAGGACAGCUUCUGGGGAGUUGUCUGGCCCCAAACCCAUGGAGGGCAGAAGCCUGGCCACACACAGAGGACCCCUGGGACUGGACGAAGCAAGUCCAGAUGGCACAGUAUGCUGAGACAUCAUGGGGGUGUCCCUGAGAGUGCCCCUCAGUGCAGUGAGGAGGACACAGGGCGCUUCGGGAUGGACGGCUGAAUGGGCACAGAACCCCCAGCCUGUGAAGGAAAUAUGUCAACACUGCUACAUUCUGUUAACUUUAAUGUGUGUCCAUAGUAUUUGUAACACUUCUUUGAGGUUCAUUUUGACUCUUCAAAGGCUGGUAUCUCUUUGAGCCCUAUACAGGAGGAAGACGGAGCAGACAGCAUGGAGGCCAAGAAGGAUACAGUGACAAAUCUGAAAUGAACAAAUGAACCAGCAAGAUGGGAGUGGAGAGGCCAGGACUGGAGCCUAUUCACACCAGGCUUCCUCCAGAGGGUACAGAUGGGGGCUGUGGACCCUGGAGGGGCUGUCUGAAUAAGACCAGGGUCACCACGUUCAGUUGGGCGGGUUGUGCACUGCAUCAGGGCAGCCUCCCUAAAGGAGUCCCAGUCCCAUCUUGGAUAGCAUAGACAUGUAUAUAUAUUCCAUUUCUCUGGCUUAUAAUAAAGUGUCUAUUCUAAUAAAAUCAGCAUGUUAUAACACUUU